rnacentral:rRNA from 1 species
UACGUAGGUGGCAAGCGUUAUCCGGAAUUAUUUGGCGUAAAGCGCGCGUAGGCGGUUUCUUAAGUCUGAUGUGAAAGCCCACGGCUCAACCGUGGAGGGUCAUUGGAAACUGGGAGACUUGAGUGCAGAAGAGGAGAGUGGAAGUCCAUGUGUAGCGGUGAAAUGCGUAGAUAUAUGGAGGAACACCAGUGGCGAAGGCGGCUCUCUGGUCUGUAACUGACACUGAGGCACGAAAGCGUGGGUAGCAAACAGG